UCUCUAACUUUUGUAUUUAUUUUAAGGAAUAUUCGAUGGAAGAUCCCUCGAAGAAAUUAUAAAGAGGAGGCAAAAUCGAUGGCAAAAAAGAAGUAAAUGAUGUAACUGGUCGCCCAAUUUGCAUGAUUAGCACUGGCCCUCUUUUUUCUCCGCUUCGGUUAGCCGGUUCGCAUCAACGGGCCACGCGCUAGAUACUUGGAUUCUCACGGGUUAUACACAAGCGAUUUAUCGAUUGGAUAUGUAAGAGAAUGUAUGUUGACGAUAAGAAAAAGAGAGAGAG